rnacentral:lncRNA from 1 species
AUUUUUUACUUGUGCUAAUAUUCUAUGGGUUGCAAGCCUUUACUAAUAUUGGAUAUGAAGAACUGUUUCCUGUUCAUGCUGCAACAGAACUUAGCUAUAAUGGAUAUGGAAUGUCAGAAUCAGCAAUUGGAAUGUUGUUUCUUAUUGUUGCAUCAUUUCAAAUUGGAAUCCAGCUUACAGUUGUUAGUAUGAUGAUGGAAAAGACUGGUGCUAAAAUG